GGGGGCGUAGCUCAGCUGGUUAGAGCGCCUCCCUGUCACGGAGGAGGUCGCGGGUUCGAGUCCCGUCGCUCCCGCCA
rnacentral:tRNA from 1 species